rnacentral:lncRNA from 1 species
ACUAAGUUCUUUGGGUAAAAGGCCUAAAGAUAUGGAAAAUGAAAAUAUAAUUUGUAAAUUACUAAAAUGACCUUACAAACAAAAAAGACAUUGCUGCCCUAAUUCCCAUUUCAAUUUCCAUUUAACCCUAAUUAAAUUCUACCUUCCUUCCAUUUGCUCUUCAAAAUCGGCUGUAGAGGUAUGUAAUUUGUUUUUUUGUCAUCAUCAUUUUUCUCUACUUAAUGAAACCUUAAACUCUACAUUCCAUUUUCCUUGAACACUCAUUUGGUUGAAGUAAGUAAUAAAAUCUUGCAAUAUCAUUGUUGGGCAUUUGGAGAAGAAGGGGGUGUUGUAAUUUUCAAUUUUUUUGUUAGUUUCUUUGUCCAUUUUUUGAAUAAUUUCUUCAUGUCGUUGUAUAUAUAUUUAUGAUUUUUAUUUGAGAACAAUGAUUUUGAAUUAAUUUUAUCAUUAGAUUAGAGUUUUGAUAUGGGUUGCUCUCAAACCCUUUUUCUCAUUUCUCAUCAUCUUUAUCAGUUAGAAUAAAAUGUAAGUUUGCAAAGGCAUGUUUGGCUAUUCUUUUUAUUAACUUACAUUUAAUUUUCGUCAGUACAUAACAACUUACAUGUUGUUUUUUGCAAUCCAUAACGACUUACAUAUCGUUAUCAGUACUGUACACUGUUUGAAAUGUGAUGAAAUUUUUAUAUUGAAUUAUAGUUAUGGACACCGUGAAUAUGGUAUGGAUAUCAGUUUGUUUUCCAGUUGAAUAUGAGUAGUCGAUUGAAUGUGUUUUAAAAUGAAAAUAUGCAGGGAAUGACAAAUAAAAACAACUCAUAUUCUUGUUGCGAAAAUUAUUUCUUAUAUGGAAUUAUAUGAUAAAGUCAAAGAGGUGUUGAACAUCAAUUCACAACUUUUUCGGAAUUUAAUUGGAAAAAUCGAAUGAUUAAAUAAUCUAUUCACAACUUCAAAUGGUUACGAGUACAGUCAUAAGAUAUCGGUGGAUUAUAUGUUUUUAUUCCCAAAUAAGAUGGAAUAAACCAAUACCUUGAAAUAGAAACCAAUACCUUGGCUUUGUUGGAGCAUACUUUUUUAUUAUUUCAUUUAUAUUUAUAAUGGAUAAUUGAUUUGGAAUUAUUUCCUGCAAAUUACAUAAUCAUCGUGUGUGUUAUCUUGCUCAUUUACUUGCUUUCAAUAUAAAGAUUCAGAAACUUGGAUGUUUACUUUGUGAUUUCGUACUGCAGCUCUCUUGAGAGACAUGCUUAAUCAACUUUACUCUAAGAGGAAUUGAACAUAGCAGGUCAAAUAUUAUGUCAGCGCUUCCAAUCCUCAACCCAAAGAAAAAUGGGAAACGUCGUUUUUUUUCCUUUUUCUUUAGGUGCUACUGCUGGUGACUUUUUUACAUAGAAAUAAUUGGUCCAGCAUUUUAAGCAAUUUAUUCCUUUAAUUUCAUCAAGAUGUAGGUCGAAAGUGUGUGUGUAUAUGUGUGUAGGAUAAAAACUAUAAUGUAAUGGCUGGCUUAUAUGCUAGGUGAACUUCUUGGUUUAUCAUCAUAAUUCAUAAUCCAAGUUCAUAAGUUUGUGACAGUGCUGAGAUUAUAAAUUAUCAAAAUUAUUCAAUGGAUCCAUAAAGACUAUAUUAAUCGACCGUUCAUUUUUCUUUUUAUAAUUUUUUUCCAAAACAUUCUUGCUUCUUGAAGUUCUCGAGUAAUAAUCGUCUGAGAUUAAGGUUGUAAUAUUUUC